GAUGAACGCUGGCGGCGUGCCUAAUACAUGCAAGUCGAGCGAACAGACGAGGAGCUUGCUCCUCUGACGUUAGCGGCGGACGGGUGAGUAACACGUGGAUAACCUAUCUAUAAGACUGGGAUAACUUCGGGAAACCGGAGCUAAUACCGGAUAAUAUAUUGAACCGCAUGGUUCAAUAGUGAAAGACGGUUUUGCUGUUACUUAUAGAUGGAUCCGCGCCGCAUUAGCUAGUUGGUAAGGUAACGGCUUACCAAGGCGACGAUGCGUAGCCGACCUAAGAGGGUGAUCGGCCACACUGGGACUGAGACACGGUCCAGACUCCUACGGGAGGCAGCAGUAGGGAAUCUUCCGCAAUGGGCGGAAGCCUGACGGAGCAACGCCGCGUGAGUGAAGAAGGUCUUCGGAUCGUAAAACUCUGUUAUUAGGGAAGAACAAAUGUGUAAGUAACUAUGCACGUCUUGACGGUACCUAAUCAGAAAGCCACGGCUAACUACGUG
rnacentral:rRNA from 1 species